AAGAUUUAUCGGGGAAGGAUUAGCCCGCGUUGGAUUAGGUAGUUGGUGGGGUAAUGGCCUACCAAGCCGACGAUCCAUAGCUGGUUUGAGAGGAUGAUCAACCACACUAGGACUGAAACACGGCCCCCACUCCUACGGGAGGCAGCAGUGGGGAAUCUUAGACAAUGGGGGCAACCCUGAUCUAACCAUGCCGCGUGAGUGAUGAAGGCCUUACGGUUGUAAAGCUCUUUCAGCUGGGAAGAUAAUGACGGUACCAGCAGAAGAAGCCCCGGCUAACUCCGUGCCAGCAGCCGCGGUAAUACGGAGGGGGCUAGCGUUGUUCGGAAUUACUGGGCGUAAAGCGCACGUAGGCGGACUGGAAAGUUGGGGGUGAAAUCCCGGGGCUCAACCUCGGAACUGCCUUCAAAACUAUCAGUCUGGAGUUCGAGAGAGGUGAGUGGAAUUCCGAGUGUACAGGUGAAAUUCGUAGAUAUUCAGAGGAACACCAGUGGCCAAGGCGGCUCACUGGCUCGAUACUGACGCUGAAGUGCGAAAGCGUGGGGAGCAAACCGGAUUAGAUACCCUGGUAGUCCACGCCGUA
rnacentral:rRNA from 1 species